UACGUAGGGCGCAAGCGUUGUCCGGAAUUAUUGGGCGUAAAGAGCUCGUAGGCGGCUUGUCACGUCGGGUGUGAAAGCCCGGGGCUUAACCCCGGGUCUGCAUUCGAUACGGGCUAGCUAGAGUGUGGUAGGGGAGAUCGGAAUUCCUAGUGUAGCGGUGAAAUGCGCAGAUAUCAGGAGGAACACCGGUGGCGAAGGCGGAUCUCUGGGCCAUUACUGACGCUGAGGAGCGAAAGCGUGGGGAGCGAACAGG
rnacentral:rRNA from 1 species